rnacentral:lncRNA from 1 species
UUUUCUAUUUAAGAAUUUUUGAAAUUGCAAUGUAGCAUACCCGUUUGGUGAAAUACUCUGAUAUAUAUUUGUUAUUUAAUUACUUUUGGGUAACGGGAUGUUACACCAUGCUAAGCCUAGGAUACUCACACCGUCUCAAGCGUUAUUGGGAAAAAGGUUUGUAUUUAAUGAAUUAGGAUACAUGAGAUGUUGGUGUGCAAAGGCUAAUUUGACAUAGUCAUUUGGGAGGAGAGAGUUCAUACUUUUAAGGAUUUGGGAGAGCAAUUGAUUCUCUCAUACCUCCUCUAACUAUAUUUUGUUUAGUCCAUUCAAUUCAUUUUUUUUGUUAUUUUUUCUUUAAAUCAUGAGUUUGUUUUAUGCAACUGAAUCUAAUGCAUGUAGUGUCCUAGGGCAAAUGAAUCUUAUGCAUGUCCUUAAGAUUAGAGAUUGGUUCUACCAUGUAAUUUAAUGAUUUACUCACUUUUUUGUGAAAUUCAUCUUUGUCAACAUACUAAUUUUGUAUCAAUUGUCAUAAUCUAGGUUUUUUUUUGAAUCAGCAUAUAUUAUUGCAACAAACCCGGCACAAGGCGUACUAAACGGGUAGGCGAAACAUUACAACCAAAGAACCACAAAAGCCAAAACUGCUUCAGCAGUAGCAGCAGAGCAGUUGCUGUCAAGCAACUACAACACACCAAAAAAAAAAAAGCAUAAAUUGAAGUGAGAGAUUAAAAUCUUUUACAUUUAUAAAAAGAGUAGUAAAAAAGAUCUUUGAUAUUGUGUCACUAUCAAAUUUGCUUUACCAAUUUGACAUGGAACUUCCAAUUGUAGAAACCAUGAAGAGUUAGUUUUAUAAACUAUUUGUAAUUGUGCUUAAUAGAAUCUAUGUACAGAUUAGAAGAACUCUUUAGAAAUAUUAGAUAGCACUCCAGGAUUUCGUAAUGUUUAUUGAGAU